GCCCGCCUAGCUCAAUCGGAUAGAGCGUCAGACUCUUAAUCUGAAGGCUGUGGGUUCGACUCCCACGGUGGGCU
rnacentral:tRNA from 1 species